ensembl:lncRNA
UUUUGUAUAGUGAUUUAUCAAUCAGUGUCGUCUUUGCUGCAGGAAUCAGUGUCAGUGGUAAAGAGGAGAUCCCUGUCAUGUCAUCAGGGCUUCCUGUCUCUCCCGGCUCAGCUUGUUCAUCACAGUCUAUUUAGACGCAGCGCCCAGCACAGAGAAUACCCCGUCUCUGAGCAAUCUCGGCCCUCAGACUCAAACCCUGAGGGGCCUCGUCUAGAGUGGACACUGCCAGGCUUUAUUUCCAUCCUCCUGCCAGAACUUCCUCUCAGCACUGGGGAUCUCUAUACUUACUG